AAGGGACUGCCGGUGUCAAACCGGAGGAAGGCGGGGAUGACGUCAAGUCCUCAUGGCCCUUACAUCCCGGGCUACACACGUGCUACAAUGGCAGGUACAGAGGGCUGCGAAGCCGCGAGGUGGAGCGAAUCCCAGAAAACCUGUCUCAGUCCGGAUUGAAGUCUGCAACUCGACUUCAUGAAGGCGGAAUCGCUAGUAACCGCGAAUCAGCAGGUCGCGGUGAAUACGUUCCCGGGCCUU
rnacentral:rRNA from 1 species